rnacentral:lncRNA from 1 species
GAGGAGAGAAUGCUUUCAGCUAAACAAACUUCUCACAGUUUCACACGUCUAAGAUUCGAAUAAGGAUAAACAGGCAAAGAUUCCAUAAUUUCUCAUCCAUUCUUCUCUGGGAAGCUUCAAGUGGGGGUCUUGGUUUCGGUUAAGAUGGCAUGGUAGGUACCACAGUAACAACACCCACCGCCCACGGCUGUUCUCCAAGCACCAAAGCCCAGGAUGACAGCAGAAGGAACUGCGCAGGUUGCACUGCAUCUGGACCACCUGUGGGCAGGGAAGGUGUAUUAGCCACAGAGCACGGCUUUACAGAGGAGCCCAGAAGGAGCAGCAGAGACCCAAAGAUGG